CAGUAAUCUGAAAUUAAGGAGAGGUUUUCUUUUUGGGUGGGUGGGGGGUCGGGUUUGAUGACGUCGGACAUUAUUGUCCGAUUAUAAAUCUCUUUAAGUUAUGAAUAAUCUCUCAUCGUGUUUAAUAUUAAUGAGCUCUUGCAAUUUAUUAAUCUCUCAAGUUACUAAUGAUCUCUUGUGUUUUAUAUAAUGUUCUCUUGGUUUUGUUAUAAGUUUUUUUUUUUUUUUUUUAAUGUGUAAAGUUAAUGAUCUCUUGCAGUUUACUCUUUAAGUUACUAAUUAUGUCUUGCACGUUAUAUAAUGUCCUACACAGGCACAAAAUACAUAUGCACGUCAGACACCUAUGAUGGGUUCCGGUCAGCAAGAUAUUGCUUCUGAGUUUGAUAGACAUCUGAGUUUGGUAGAUUAGAUGGUAGUUCUGAUGGAUUAAGUUAUGCACGGAUGAUUUUGGUAGUUUUGGUGUUGCUACUUUUGGUAUUGAUACGUUGGGUUCUAGUUUUGAUGGAUUGAGUUCUGGUACUAAACUCGAUGAGCGUUGUUUAGCGUGUGCAUGGGCGGAUUUACGUGGAGGGAUAUGGGUUCACAUGAACCCAUGUACCCCUCCCUAGAUUAUGUAAAGUACUGCAAUUAUUCCGAUAAAUUAUUUACAUUUUAUGUGGGAACCCAUGCUAAAGAGCAUAUCUUGGCCAAUUGAUGGUCGUGUGCGCCAUUGUUAACCAGGUCUUGGAUUCGAAUACCAUCCCCUCUCAUAUCGUUGAAUCAUAUUUUUCUGUUGCUUUUUUGUUUUAUUGUGUCUUUUUGGUCUUUUCUGUUGCUUUUUUGUUUUAUUGUGUCUUUUUGGUCUUGUGUGUUUCUCUUUUACCUUUUCUUUCUUUCCCCUUUUGGUUCCUGUUUUGAUGCUUCUCUUUUUUUUUUUGUCUUUUUCUUUGGUGAUAUUUCUCUUUUCUUUUCCUUUUUUGCUUUUCUUUUUAAUUCAUUCUUGAGUAUUAAAAUCCUUUUUAAAAAAAAGGAAAUAUCCACCUCUGCCCAGUUGUUCUCUCUGUCAAAAUCUUUAGCAGACUUUUUCUCAAUGUUAUGGUCUUUCUUUUCUUCAAUUUUUUUCUUUGAUUCGUAAAGUGCGUUUUAUCAAAAAUGAUACUAUUAUUAAUUGCCUUCAAAUAUAAAAAGUCAUUAAGAACAAUUAAAAGCUGAAUCUGUGUGAUAAUGGAGUAUUAAUUAUAGUUUACUUGUCAAGUCGUUGCCAUGACACAAUUUUAUGGCAUUAAACGUAACGAUAGUACAGUGCACCUAUAUAUGCUCUUAAAAUCCAUGAUACGCCUCUGCGGGCAUGUUGAGGAAUGAUUAGAGAAAAUUGAAACUCAUUCGAAGAAGGUGGAGACAUUGUUGACUAAGUUAACAAAAGCAUGAAUUAUUUGAUAAAGAUACGGAAAGUUAACUAUGUGCCUCACACAACUGUAAGAUAAAGUGGUGGAUCCAUAUCUUACACUUUUGAAUCCACAAAUUUUGAGUUCACUUUUUUGUGAACUCACACAAUUAAUGUCAGUUGUGUGAGGCACAUUUUACAAUUUUUCGGAGAUGAUCACACAGUAAUGCCAACAUCGAUGAUUUGAAAGACGUGCAGCAAGAGAAGUUUUUCCUGUAGUUAUAUCAGCAUUGAAAAUUGGGAAGAUGUGUAUUAGGAAUGUUGAUCAAAGUUCGUGCAGCUUAACUCUAAAGAAGCAGAACAUGACAAGUAAAAGUGAACAAAGAGAGUAUAUAACAAUCUAAAUACAAGUAAUAUUUGUUAUUUUUUUUUAUUUGUUCAAGUUUUGAUGUACAGAGUUAUUCGACACUCAUAUUAUUUUUUAAUGGUACUCGUGUAUUUCGCAGCAUUAGUCAAGGUGCACACGGUAUCCCAACACCAUAGUAUUUAUAACUAGCCUGCGAAAUCAGAUGAUUCGAGUAAAACGUUGCUCAAUCUAUCCAUUCAAACCAAAUGAUUAUUUCUCUAUCCUCCAACCUUCGAGGUAUGAAUGAACUAGUUGUCAAUUGGAUAAUUAAUUAACUAUAGUACUACUUAGAUUAAAUAGAAGUGGUCCCCUCAGCCCGUUCACAUCAAAUCCAUACCAAAAUACAUUCUGAAUGAAGCCAUUUCCCAGUUUUCAAAGUUGGAUUAGUUGACCAGUCUUGGUAAACUCUCAAAUCUUGUAAAUAUAAUUUGCUGCCGGUAAAACAUGGAUGUUUGGUAGCUGCACUCAUGAGUUUGAAGCUGGAGAAAGUGGAUUUCUCAGUUUUAUAUAAUAGAAGCAUAUAUUUUGGGCCUAUAUGUAUUAGAAAAAUUCAUAUAGACAGUUGAGAACUGCCACUUUUUUUUUUCUUCCUAUGAGCCUUUUAUGUCUUUCUUUCUGAGUGGUUACUUAUGUAGCAUGCAGACAGUCUUAGUGAAGGACGGAUACUGUAGAGAGGUGCUUGGUGAGCAAAACAUUAAGCCAGCUUAGAAAUUAGAAAGAAAAAAAAAGUGCAUUUAGUAGGGUUCGACCCUACGAACUUAAUUAAACCCAACAGUUAAGUUGGUGCUGCACUCGGUCUUAUUUGAUCACGUGUUCCUUAAGUUAAUAUUAGAUAUAUUUUAAAAAUUGUAUACAUAAUAUAUCGAGUUUAGUCGGAUGACUAUGGAUUUACGUGAACCAUUUUUUCUACAUAAAUUCACCUCUGGGUGCUCUAUAGUGGUCCUAAUACAAAUGAUGCAGUUACUGAAUAUCUUGUUAGAUACCUGCAAUUAAUGGGUAAUACCUUUGGCUCAAAGUGAUUACUGUGUCUCUUAGCAAAUUUGUAGCUUUGUUUGUAAUGUUAAAAUGCUCCUGCGUUGGUUAACUAGCUGCAACCAGAGUACAAUCUCUAGUGGGGAUGUGGAUGGUGGGGCAGCAGUGUGGGUGGUUUUGGUUAUAGGGCUUUUGAUGUUGUAGGUACUUUUCUCCACUGCUUGAAAGAUGAUUAAUAGCUAAUCGCAUGAUGGAAUAUGCCAACAUUCAGGAAGUCUAUUAACUUCUUGGACGUUAAUUGAGUUUUUAGGGAGCGGCAGAUUAAGAUGAAGUCAUGGGGUGCAUUAGCUAAAGGAGUUAAAGUUGAAGUUUGCUUGCUAGAGUUUCUCAAACUUUCUGCAUGCUUAUGCCUCAUAAGAUGCAUCUCAUGGAACCAUGAAGUCACAAAUUCUGGUAUCUAGUGCUGGUGAAUGGUGGCUGGCACUGACCUUAUGCAUGAGUAUUGUAUUUGUAUUGACCUUCGUCGUUCUGAAAAGAGUUAUCAUUUAUGGUUAAGCAUUAUUUUACUGGUUUCUUAUUUAGUUAUUGUGAAGAUGAAUUAUGUUGAACUGUUGGAAAGGUCAUUUGGUCUCUGUUAUAUAUAUUUAACUGUGUACAUUGAUGCAGAUACGAGGAUGAGCCCAUAGAGCCCGAUUUUGAUGAAGGAGCAGAGGUGAAGAAGAAAAUGGCAACCUUGAGGACGUAUCAGACCCCCAAUUGGGUGAAGGUGAGGAAAACCGGAGCAAGAGCAUGUGGAGCGACCUCGGAAAACAUCCAAGUAUAUGACAAAAUAUGAACGUGCAAGAAUCUUGGGUGCUCGAGCACUCCAGAUCAGGUCCUGCCUCUUUUCUUCCCAAAUUGAGCCUUUCUGUAUGGGGUUAUAUUUUGAGCAUUGAAAACUUGGGGUUUUCAUAACAUGAUAAGUUUUUUUAUGCUCAUGGAGCAUGAAUGCUCCUGUGAUGGUUGAGUUGGAGGGCGAAACUGAUCCGCUUGAGAUUGCAGUGAAAAAGCUUCAAGAAAAAAAAGAUACCCUUCACAAUUCGUCGAUACCUGCCUGAUGGAAG